AUUGCCCCAGUAACGGCGAGUGAAGCGGCAACAGCUCAAAUUUGAAAUCUGGUCCCCAGGGCCCGAGUUGUAAUUUGCAGAGGAUGCUUUUGGUGAGGUGCCUUCCGAGUUCCCUGGAACGGGACGCCAUAGAGGGUGAGAGCCCCGUCUGGUUGGAUACCGAGCCUCUGUAAAGCUCCUUCGACGAGUCGAGUAGUUUGGGAAUGCUGCUCUAAAUGGGAGGUAUAUGUCUUCUAAAGCUAAAUAUUGGCCAGAGACCGAUAGCGCACAAGUAGAGUGAUCGAAAGAUGAAAAGCACUUUGAAAAGAGGGUUAAAUAGUACGUGAAAUUGUUGAAAGGGAAGCACUUAUGACCAGACUUGGCCCCGGUGAAUCAUCCAGCGGUUCCCGCUGGUGCACUUUGCCGGGGUUCAGGCCAGCAUCAGUUCGCUCCGGGGGAUAAAGGCUUUGGGAAUGUGGCUCCCUCGGGAGUGUUAUAGCCCAUUGCGUAAUACCUUGUGGCGGGCUGAGGUUCGCGCUUUAUGCAAGGAUGCUGGCAUAAUGGUCAUCAGUGACCCGUCUUGAAACACGGACCAAGGAGUCGUCUUCGUAUGCGAGUGUUCGGGUGUUAAACCCCUACGCGUAAUGAAAGUGAACGCAGGUGAGAGCCCUCCAGGGCGCAUCAUCGACCGAUCCUGAUGUUCUCGGAUGGAUUUGAGUAAGAGCAUACGGGGCCGGACCCGAAAGAAGGUGAACUAUGCCUGUAUAGGGUGAAGCCAGAGGAAACUCUGGUGGAGGCUCGCAGCGGUUCUGACGUGCAAAUCGAUCGUCAAAUAUGGGCAUGGGGGCGAAAGACUAAUCGAAC
rnacentral:rRNA from 1 species